rnacentral:rRNA from 1 species
UACAGAGGUCUCAAGCGUUGUUCGGAUUUAUUGGGCGUAAAGGGCGCGUAGGCGGCGGGGGAAGUCGGGUGUGAAAUCUCAGGGCUCAACCCUGAAACUGCACUUGAUACUGCUCUGCUUGAGGACUGGAGAGGAGACUGGAAUUCACGGUGUAGCAGUGAAAUGCGUAGAUAUCGUGAGGAAGACCAGUGGCGAAGGCGGGUCUCUGGACAGUUCCUGACGCUGAGGCGCGAAGGCCAGGGGAGCAAACGGG